CAAUUUACUUCUGAAGUGGGACACAAACCACCAGGACCAGCCUACAGACUACACUGCUCCUUUCUUGCACCUACCCCAGAAACUGAAGGGUGAAUUUAGGAUUAUGUUUCCUGAGCAAAAAACAAUUGUAGAAAAUUUUACAGAUGGAGCAAAAAAAAGAACCUUUCCUUUCUGAAGUGGAGACAGUUGCAGAUGCCUCUUUCCCUGGAGUACAGAACAGAGAAGCAAGUCUGUUUGAACAAAAGCAAAAAUACCCCAACAGCUACUAUAAAGAAAUGAUUUACCAAGAAGGAGACUGAAAAUCAGGCCACAAGUUACAAUUUUGGAAGCUUCCAUUUCAGAAGCAAAAAAAGGUUAACCAAUCAGAGAAAACAACUGUUGACCUGGAGAGAGGUCACUAAACUUUUUGAGGACUACUUCUAAUUCAAAUAGGUGGAAGAGUGUGCAGUGGGCAGAGCAUUUACCAUCUUUUCUUGAAAUCACCUAUGCUAUUGAAAUCCUGAUGUAAAAGGCUUGAGGGCUUCUGUCCUUGCCUCUCCAUUUACAGUAAAUGAAGGUGCUAUUCUUUUUUCUUUAAAGAAAAGCAUUAUUAAACUGUUCUAACAUCUUGAAGACCUUA